rnacentral:sRNA from 3 species
AUAUCUCUCUGUACGGGAAGGAUGAGAAGCUUCUACCAGGGUUCGAUUCGAGCGCAGCGAGAAAGCGUUGCCGCAGGCAACGACCCGAAGGGCGAAGCGCGCAGCGCUGAGUCAUCC